GAUGAACGCUGGCGGCGUGCUUAACACAUGCAAGUCGAACGAGAAGUGAAGACGGAAACCUUCUGGCGGAAGGCUUUAUUUCGAGUGGCGGACGGGUUAGUAACGCGUGGGUAACCUGCCUCAUACAGGGGGAUAACAGUUGGAAACGACUGGUAAUACCGCAUAAGACCACAGCACCGCAUGGUGCGGGGGUAAAAACUCCGGUGGUAUGAGAUGGACCCGCGUUCGAUUAGCCAGUUGGCGGGGUAAUGGCCCACCAAGGCGAUGACGGAGAGCCGGCCGGAGAGGGGGACCGGCCACAGUGGGACGGAGAUACUGCCCAGACUCCUGCGGGAGGCAGGAGUGGGGAAUAUUGCACAAUGGGAGGAAGCCUGAUGCAGCAACGCCGCGUGAGGGAGGAAGGCCGUCGGGUUGUAAACCGAGUUCGCCUGUGACGAAGCGUGAGUGACGGUAAUGGGUAAAGAAGCACCGGCUAACUACGUG
rnacentral:rRNA from 1 species